GCUACAGGCUUAACACAUGCAAGUCGAGGGGCAGCAUGGUCUUAGCUUGCUAAGGCCGAUGGCGACCGGCGCACGGGUGAGUAACACGUAUCCAACCUGCCGUCUACUCUUGGACAGCCUUCUGAAAGGAAGAUUAAUACAAGAUGGCAUCAUGAGUCCGCAUGUUCACAUGAUUAAAGGUAUUCCGGUAGACGAUGGGGAUGCGUUCCAUUAGAUAGUAGGCGGGGUAACGGCCCACCUAGUCUUCGAUGGAUAGGGGUUCUGAGAGGAAGGUCCCCCACAUUGGAACUGAGACACGGUCCAAACUCCUACGGGAGGCAGCAGUGAGGAAUAUUGGUCAAUGGGCGAGAGCCUGAACCAGCCAAGUAGCGUGAAGGAUGACUGCCCUAUGGGUUGUAAACUUCUUUUAUAAAGGAAUAAAGUCGGGUAUGCAUACCCGUUUGCAUGUACUUUAUGAAUAAGGAUCGGCUAACUCCGUGCCAGCAGCCGCGGUAAUACGGAGGAUCCGAGCGUUAUCCGGAUUUAUUGGGUUUAAAGGGAGCGUAGAUGGAUGUUUAAGUCAGUUGUGAAAGUUUGCGGCUCAACCGUAAAAUUGCAGUUGAUACUGGAUAUCUUGAGUGCAGUUGAGGCAGGCGGAAUUCGUGGUGUAGCGGUGAAAUGCUUAGAUAUCACGAAGAACUCCGAUUGCGAAGGCAGCCUGCUAAGCUGCAACUGACAUUGAGGCUCGAAAGUGUGGGUAUCAAACAGGAUUAGAUACCCUGGUAGUCCACACGGUAAACGAUGAAUACUCGCUGUUUGCGAUAUACGGCAAGCGGCCAAGCGAAAGCGUUAAGUAUUCCACCUGGGGAGUACGCCGGCAACGGUGAAACUCAAAGGAAUUGACGGGGGCCCGCACAAGCGGAGGAACAUGUGGUUUAAUUCGAUGAUACGCGAGGAACCUUACCCGGGCUUAAAUUGCAGAUGAAUUACGGUGAAAGCCGUAAGCCGCAAGGCAUCUGUGAAGGUGCUGCAUGGUUGUCGUCAGCUCGUGCCGUGAGGUGUCGGCUUAAGUGCCAUAACGAGCGCAACCCUUGUUGUCAGUUACUAACAGGUUCCGCUGAGGACUCUGACAAGACUGCCAUCGUAAGAUGUGAGGAAGGUGGGGAUGACGUCAAAUCAGCACGGCCCUUACGUCCGGGGCUACACACGUGUUACAAUGGGGGGUACAGAGGGCCGCUACCACGCGAGUGGAUGCCGAUCCCCAAAACCUCUCUCAGUUCGGACUGGAGUCUGCAACCCGACUCCACGAAGCUGGAUUCGCUAGUAAUCGCGCAUCAGCCACGGCGCGGUGAAUACGUUCCCGGGCCUUGUACACACCGCCCGUCAAGCCAUGGGAGCCGGGGGUACCUGAAGUGCGUAACCGCGAGGAGCGCCCUAGGGUAAAACUGGUGACUGGGGCUAAGUCAUAA
rnacentral:rRNA from 1 species